rnacentral:rRNA from 1 species
UGAGGCAAUAACAGGUCUGUGUGAUGCCCUUAGAUGUCCUGGGCCGCACGCGCGCUACACUGACGAAUUCAACGAGUUUACCUUGGCCGAGAGGCCUGGGAAAUCUUAUUAACCUUCGUCGUGAUAGGGAUAGAUUAUUGCAAUUAUUAAUCUUGAACGAGGAAUUCCUAGUAAACGCAGGUCAUCAACCUGCAUUGAUUACGUCCCUGCCCUUUGUACACACCGCCCGUCGCACCUACCGAUUGAAUGGUCCGGUGAGGCCUCGGGAUUGUGAUGAGUUUCCUUCAUUGGGAGUUUGUCGCGAGAACUUGUCCAAACCUUAUCAUUUAGAGGAAGGUGAAGUCGUAACAAGGUUUCCGUAGGUGAACCUGCGGAAGGAUCAUUGAAACCGAUCAAACCAAUCACAGAGCACUUGCAGGCGCUCGCCUCUCCCCCUCGUGGGGGGGGGUGGGGCAGUCUGCCGUUUACAGGUGCCGCCGGUGCGGGAAGCCCCUCGCGGGGCCCCCGGCCGGGCCGGACCCUUUAACCCAUUGAACCCUCUGCCCUGAAGCAGCUUCGUAUGGGGACACCCCUGCGAUAGUAACUGAGACAACUCUCAACAACGGAUAUCUUGGCUCUCGCAACGAUGAAGAACGCAGCGAAAUGCGAUACGUAGUGUGAAUUGCAGAAUUCCGUGAGUCAUCGAAUCUUUGAACGCACAUUGCCGGUCGACUCUUCGGAGGAGACCACAUCUGCCUCAGCGUCGGAAUACCCCCUCACGCACUCCCGCGUGGACCUGGCCCCCCCGGACACCCCGUCCGGGCUGGCUGAAAUGCAGAGGCUCGUGCGCGGCCCAUUCGUGGCCCCGACUAGGUAGGUAGCUCGCUACUGCUAGGCGGAGGCUCGGUGUCGCGUGCUCUGGGCCCAAAGGAUACCCAUCCAUUCAUUCGACCUGAGUUCAGGUGAGGCUACCCGCUGAACUUAAGCAUAUCAAUAAGC